UGCCAUGUCCAUGCCCAGGCUCUGAACCGGCGAAACCCUGGGCUGCCAAAGCGGAGCACGCAAACUUAACCACUCGGCCAUGGGAGUCUGGCAUGGUGUUUGGAUCACAUUAGCAAUUCAAUAUAAAUUCUUUGAUUGAUUUUAUGGAAAGGAAGGAAGGAGACAAGAAGAAAGAAGGGAACGAAGGAGCUAAUCUGGAUAUCGAACAGUGACUACCAGAAAUCAAUGGAAAACAUCCCAGAUUUUCGAUGCUGGAGUUUGGCAUGGCAAGAGAUUAAAGGGAAAGAUGAGUAGCGCCUUACUAACUUGCUCCAGGGACAAAGAAUG
rnacentral:lncRNA from 1 species